AGAGAGUUCAGACGGACAGGCGGGUGUGUGGACCAAAUAAAAUCGUGGAAUCCACGCGGGAAAACACUCGGUGCUGUUGACCACCUCUUCCCCUCCCACCAUUGGGGGAAGAAGCUCUGCCGAGCAAGGGAGGUAAAGAGAGAAUGGAAAGGAUGAAGAAGCUCUGCUUAAGCUUCGCUGAUCUGGUGUUCAGCAUGCGGAUUUUUUGGCUUGGGGUGAAGAGCAGGAUUUCCUUCUCGGCCAGUCAGUCGCCAGUCAGCUGGCUUCAGUAGAGUACUCGAGGUGAAAUUUAUAUAAAAUGGAUGGAUGCAAGCAGAAUUGCCCGGACCCGGAAGGAAUUUCACCAACCGAGUUCACAGCUUCAGCUAUUUGUCUGGAGCUGGAAUCGCCGAAUCUGUCUUCUUCAGAUGAAAAUUUUGCAGGAUAUCAUCGUUGGAGGAGUAUGAUGAUAGUUGUUUUCAGGAUGAUGUUGACUUAAAUAAUAUUGCUAUGGUGUUUGAUCGUAUGGAAGAGGGUAUCAGUAAGCGGCCAAAUCAUGAAGGUGGAAAGUCAUGACAUAUGUGGAUCCACAAGAAUAUGGUGGCCGAUCAAAACUGUCUUGUAUGUGAAUACUUUGAAAAGGCUCAAUCGUAACCUCCUUCUUCGCUCGUCAGGAAAUGGAUCAAGAUGUGCAUGGAGCUCCUUGUGCGCAAUGAUGAUUACUUUAAACGAAAAUGAAAUGCAUCUGGAGAACUUGGUUUCUAUGCUCGAUAAAAGAUCAUGACUAAAAUGGACAUCAGGGCAUAUGGUGUAGCUAGAUAUUUGGAGAAGUUAAUUCGAAUUCGGGAAAGCACCAACAUCAAGACUAUGAAGAAAUUUGUAGAAACAUUGAUCAAGGUCGUCGGAACUGAGUAUCCAAGAGCACCAAAUCUAGUGGAUAUCGUAAGACUUUUGGAAAUGGCCGAAACAAGAGGGUUCAUGGGGAUUCUUGGGUGUAUUGACUACAUGCCCUAGAGGUCAAAGAAUUGGUCUGCAAGAUAAAAUGAAAAUUUCAUUAUCAAACAAUUUAAAUUGUUGGGUCUCCGGAUCUAAGGAUUUGGCACUUCUAUCUUGGGAUACCUGGCUCUCACAUUGACAGCAAUAUAUUGCAACUCUCUCCUCUGAUUGCAAGGAUAGCUGCUGGGGAACCUCCACCAUGCAACUUAAGGACAAUGUCCAUGACUACUAUAUGGGUUACUAUCUUGCAGAUGACAUAUAUCCAACAUUGUCAACAUUUGUCAAGACAAUCUAAGAAUCCAAGGUAGGAAGGGAAUCCUUUUAUAAAAGGAUCAAGGAAACAUUAAAAGGACAAUAAAUAAUGGUUGUGUCUUGGAAGCUCAGUUUGCAAUCGCGCGUGGACCUACUUGCUUCUAGUACCAGAAGACCUUGAGAAACAUUGUUGUGUACUUCUCGAUAAAUUGAUCAUAGAGGAUAAGAGGUUCCAAGAGGUAGAUUACGAGUGCAAUGGUUUCGGAACUACUAUUAUCAUGACUAAGGACAAUAGAUCGACUCACUUAUUGAAGUCCACACAAAUAGAGGACAUGGUGUCACAUGAAAAACUUUGUGAUGACAUCAUAGGCUGAAAAAGGCAACUACAUAGGGGAGUAGAUACUUGAUUUGAUUCAUUUAGGCCAUAUACUUGUGUAUGGAUGAUUCUUUACUUUUCAUCAUCUUUGCUUUUGGACGAUGUUCGAGUAUGAUUUUUUUAAUAUAUAACAUUUUCAUACUAUGUAA